UAGGCUUGACAUGCACGGGAAUGUCGUGGAAACACGGCAGCCCUUCGGGGCUCGUGCACAGGUGGUGCAUGGCUGUCGUCAGCUCGUGUCGUGAGAUGUUGGGUUAAGUCCCGCAACGAGCGCAACCCUUGUCCCUAGUUGCUACGCAAGGGCACUCUAGGGAGACUGCCGGUGACAAACCGGAGGAAGGUGGGGAUGACGUCGAAUACGUAAC
rnacentral:misc_RNA from 1 species